AUUGAACGCUGGCGGCAGGCUUUACACAUGCAAGUCGAACGGCAGCACAGUGAAGCUUUCUUCUUGGGUGGCGAGUGGCGCACGCGGGAGUAGUAUAUAGGGACAUAUCGAGUUUUGGGGGGGAACUAAUAGAGAGACUAGCGAUUACAGCACAUUCUCCGUGGAGGAGAGCAGGGGAGCUUCUCGCCCCUCGCGAGUCUAGAGGCCGAUAUCUGAUUUGCUAGUUGGUGGGGUAAAGGCCCACCAAGGCGACGAUCAGUAGAUGGUCUGAGAGGAUGAUCAGCCACACUGGGACUGAGACACGGUCCAGACUCCUACGGGAGGCAGCAGUGGGGAAUUUUGGACAAUGGGCGCAAGCCUGAUCCAGCCAUGCCGCGUGUCUGAAGAAGGCCUUCGGGUUGUAAAGGACUUUUGUCAGGAAAGAAAAGCAUCAUGUUAAUAUCCAUCGGUGAUGACGGUACCCAAAGAAUAAGCACCGGCUAACUUCGUG
rnacentral:rRNA from 1 species